AUAGUACUCUCUCCGUCCAACAAAGAAUGUGUCAAAUUUGACUAAAUUUGAAUGCAUUUAUACCUAAAUCAUGACUAGAUACAUUCAAAUUUUAACAAACUUGAAACAUCUUUUGAUGGACGGAGGAGUAUUUA
rfam:Brachypodium distachyon strain Bd21 chromosome 4, whole genome shotgun sequence.